CAGUCGCCACGGGAAUACGAAGGGUGCAAGCGUUACUCGGAAUUACUGGGCGUAAAGCGUGCGUAGGUGGUGGUUUAAGUCCGUUGUGAAAGCCCUGGGCUCAACCUGGGAAUUGCAGUGGAUACUGGGUCACUAGAGUGUGGUAGAGGAUAGUGGAAUUUCCGGUGUAGCAGUGAAAUGCGUAGAGAUCGGAAGGAACAUCUGUGGCGAAGGCGACUAUCUGGGCCAACACUGACACUGAGGCACGAAAGCGUGGGGAGCAAACAGGAUUAGAUACCCGCGUAGUCCCUGUCUCUUAUAC
rnacentral:rRNA from 1 species